UACGUAGGGUGCAAGCGUUAAUCGGAAUUACUGGGCGUAAAGCGUGCGCAGGCGGUUUUGUAAGUCUGUUGUGAAAUCCCCGGGCUUAACCUGGGAAUGGCAAUGGAGACUGCAAGGCUAGAGUUUGGCAGAGGGGGGUAGAAUUCCACGUGUAGCAGUGAAAUGCGUAGAGAUGUGGAGGAACACCGAUGGCGAAGGCAGCCCCCUGGGACCUGACUGACGCUCAUGUACGAAAGCGUGGGGAGCAAACAGG
rnacentral:rRNA from 1 species